UAAGGAGUUUUCGGCAAUGGGGGAAACCCUGACCGAGCAACGCCGCGUGAGUGAUGACGGUCUUCGGAUUGUAAAGCUCUGUUGUUAGGGACGAAUGGCAUCCUUAGGAAAUGAGGGGUGUUUGACGGUACCUAACCAGAAAGCCACGGCUAACUACGUGCCAGCAGCCGCGGUAAUACGUAGGUGGCAAGCGUUAUCCGGAAUUAUUGGGCGUAAAGAGUGAGCAGGCGGCAGUUUAAGUCUGAAGUGAAAGCGAGAGGCUCAACCUCUUAUAGCUUCGGAAACUGAACAGCUAGAGUGCGAGAGAAGUAAACGGAAUUUCAUGUGUAGCGGUAAAAUGCGUAGAUAUAUGAAGGAACACCAGUGGCGAAGGCGGUUUACUAGCUCGAUACUGACGCUCAGUCACGAAAGCGUGGGUAGCAAAUAGG
rnacentral:rRNA from 2 species